GACGAACGCUGGCGGCGUGCUUAACACAUGCAAGUCGAACGGAAAGGCUCCAGCUUGCUGGAGUACUCGAGUGGCGAACGGGUGAGUAACACGUGGGUAAUCUGCCCUGCACUCUGGGAUAAGCCUGGGAAACUGGGUCUAAUACUGGAUAUGACCUUUCUCCUUAUGGGGUUUGGUGGAAAGUUUUUCGGUGUAGGAUGAGCCCGCGGCCUAUCAGCUUGUUGGUGGAGUGAUGGCCUACCAAGGCGACGACGGGUAGCCGGCCUGAGAGGGUGAUCGGCCACAUUGGGACUGAGAUACGGCCCAGACUCCUACGGGAGGCAGCAGUGGGGAAUAUUGCACAAUGGGCGGAAGCCUGAUGCAGCGACGCCGCGUGAGGGAUGACGGCCUUCGGGUUGUAAACCUCUUUCAGCAGGGACGAAGCGUAAGUGACGGUACCUGCAGAAGAAGCACCGGCUAACUAUGUG
rnacentral:rRNA from 1 species